UCCUCGUUUAAGCGAGGCAGUCUGUCCAGAGUGCUUCGAACUCUCGUUCAAGUGGCAACAGGACAUAAGGGUUGCGCUCGUUGCGGGACUUAACCCAACAUCUCACGACACGAGCUGACGACAACCAUGCACCACCUGUCACUCUGUCCCCCGAAGGGGAAAGUCCUAUCUCUAGGAUUGUCAGAGGAUGUCAAGACCUGGUAAGGUUCUUCGCGUUGCAUCGAAUUAAACCACACGCUCCGCUGCUUGUGCGGGCCCCCGUCAAUUCCUUUGAGUUUUAGCCUUGCGGCCGUACUCCCCAGGCGGGAUGCUUAAAGCGUUAGCUGCGGCACGGAGGGGGUCGACACCCCCCACACCUAGCAUCCACCGUUUAGGGCUAGGACUAC
rnacentral:misc_RNA from 1 species